AUUCCAGGUUGACUCCACCAGCGAGAAUCACAGGUAGAACGGUCAGAGUAGCGGGAGGACUGGGAAGGUGGGAAGUGGGAGGACCGUCCAACAUGGCGCUGUGGAAAGCCAGCGCAGGGCCCCAGGGGAUCUUCCGGGGCGGAUGCAGCUGCCUAGGAGUGCUGGGGCUCGCGCGCCUCGGCGGCUCAAACUCUGACCCCUUGAGAUCCUUUCCAGCCCGACCCCUUACUUUAGGGGUCAGCCUGCCCCCGUAAGUCCUGUUAUUUAUUGUAUUUAUAUUCUUUUUUUAGUUGGUCCUUUUUUGUUUGUUUUUGAGACGGAGUUUCACUCUUGUUGCCCAGGCUGGAGUGCCAUGGCGCGAUCUCAGCUCACUCCAAUCUCUGCCCUCCGGGUUCAAGCGAUUCUCCAGCCUCAGCCUCCCGAGUAGCUGGAAUUACAGGCGCGCGCCAACACGUCCGGCUAAUUUUCGUAUUUGUAGUAGAGACGGGGGUUUCGCCACCUUGGCCAGGCUGGUCUAGAACUCCUGACCUUAGGUGAUCCACCCGCCUCGGCCUCCUAAAGUGCUGGGAUUACAGGCGUGAGCCACCGCCCCUCACGCCUGGCUAGUUUGUCCUUUUCAUGGGGACUUUUUAUUGUACGCGGGUUACUCUGAAAAAGAUCGCGAUUCGUCCCCUCGCCCUGCAGGCGCCGCUGCCGCCUCGCCUCGGGCGUGGACCCUGCGGCUCGGGCCUGCGCGUGUGCACCCCGAGGUUGUCUCACUUCCUGUUCAGGGCGACCAGCGCUGCGCCCUCCCCACUCCACAGAUGAGGAAGCUGAGGUUAAAGUCACUUGCCCCAGGUCACUCCGCAAGUUGAAGCGCAACCAGGAUACUCUGGAACAGGAUGCCUGACUUCAGAGGAGAGGCGCGUAACCACCAGGCAACUGGCCCCACGAAAACAAGUCCCGCAACUUCCCUUCUUUGGCUCCUACUUGCUCCCGGAAGAAAAGCCUUAAACGGUAUUCAAGCCCUUUAGGAUCUGAUGUCCUAGGACUCCACUCUGGGCUUCCAGCCUGGGGUGGUACUGGUCCCUAGGCAUGGAAGCUCCUCCCACUGCCCCUUCCUUCACCCGGCCACCUCCUCCCACAGGUGUCUUCCUGGUACUCUUGCACAGGCCCGAGUCCCUUACCACCACGGCCUUAGCCUGCUCUCGUGCUCUCAGUAAUGUUUUCUCCAUUUGCUGCCUUUCAUUCUUUCCAGAGAUUCUUGCUCAACCCAACCAGGCCAGCCCGGGGACUAGGGACAUGUAGGGACAAUAGUCCCUGCUUCAGGCAGUUCAGGGCAGACCACAGAGAUGUGACAUUACAGACCAUUGUGAGCAGAGGCCUUGUCCCAUUCUGUGUUGCAUCCCUAAGCCAGGAACAAAGUCCAGCCCAGGCCUGGCUCCAGGGGACACGCAGUAGUAUCCUCUGGCCUGUGCAAGUGUAUCUGUAGCCUCACAUGCCACCAUGUGAGUCUGCAAUCUGUCUGUGAAUGCCCUGGUGUAGAAGCCAGGAGUUUGGAGGUGGGAGGGAGCCCUACAGAAUGAUAGCCAGUGCUAACUCCUGGGAAUGUCCAGCCACUAAGACCUGCCCACAGCCCUGCCAUGCCAAUGUCCUCCUUUUCACGGGAGCAGCUUGCACAGACUUUCAGCGCACAGCUGGCAUUGUCUUCCCAGGAGCCAUCCUGUAACCCAGGCCAGGUGAAGGGCUCCUCCCUGGGACCCCACAGCCCCGUUCCCAUCAUCCUUUUGUGGUGAUCAAGGCACCCAUCACACAGUAUUGCCAUAAACCGGGUCAGGUUAACCUUUCAUUCCCUUAGGAGCUGGGUGGGGGCAGCCAAAAGUAUUUGUAGGAGGAAGAGAGAAAGGAGGGGACAGAGCUAGGAAGAAUGGGAGGACGGUCAGAACGCCCCUGUGAAGGAAGGAGAGCACCAAGUCCCCGUGUUCUGCCUACCCUCCCCCAGACAGCAGAUCAGGAGCACCCCGCGCGCCCCCCCCCGCCCCGCCCCGCGUCGGCGCCGGCCCCCUGCAAUGGUUGGCGGUAUGGGGAGGUGAACCAAGAAGGCCAGGAGUUCAAGUGCGUGAUCCCCCACUGGGGCAUAUAGGUUACAGCCGCCAGGGCAACUGAAACUCCUCAGGCUCCAGAGGGCUGAAGUGAGUCGCCUCCACGUUCUUGAGGUGCUUCCGAGCCAGGAACAGUGCGAGGCGCCGGCGCCGCCGCGAGCUCAGGCCCUGGCCCACCAGCCAUGGGAAGGCGGGUCCGUGUGGCCCCAGGGCCUCCUCGCCCUCCAGCUCCUCUUCGCAGCGUGCACGGUAGGAGCGCAGCAGCGCCAGGCACCAGUCCUCGUCCACGCGGUAGCGUGCAUAGAAGGCGGCCUCCUGCGCCAAGCUGCCAGCGCGCAGCCAGCGGGUGACGACGGCGCGGCCCUCUCGCGCCAUCACGACGGGGUAGCGGUGCUCCAGCAGGCGCAGCAGCAGCUCAUUGCCCCGGUUGCCCUCCACGUCACCAGGUGACAGGGGGCGCAGGCGGCCCGAAGUGCUGACCACGUCAUCCUGCGUGCGUCGGAGCAGCAGCACCGGCCCCGGGUAGCAGCACAGCUGCUCGGCCACGUUGAGGUUGAAGUGCUCGCGCACGGUGCGCACCACCAGCCCCUUCCAACUGUGGGGCAUGACCUUCAGCGCCAGCGGCACAAGGUCGUCGAAGGUGGCGUCCAGCACCAGUGCACCCAGCUCCGGGUAGGUCAUGGUGGCCCAGGUGGCCGUGAAGCCGCCAACAGACCAGCCGUAGACCACCAGGUGCGCGGGCGGGAAGUGCAGGCGGUGCAGUGCGUACUCGACCACCACGUCCAUGGCGUUGGCGUCGUGCUGAGGGAAGGGCACGCCAGUGCUGCUGCCGAAGCCGGGGUGGUUCCAGCCCAGCACGGAGUAGCCGGCCUCGAGCGGUGCAGACAGACAGCCCAUCUCGUAGAAGCCCGCGUUGCCUUCGCAGCAGAUGACGAGGCGCGGCCCGUGCACGUGGCUGCCCGGGUGCUGGCGGCGGUCCAUGAACAUAGUGUCGAUCUCGUUGCCGUCACAGGCCACCAGCUUGGCGCGCCGGCCGUGGUAGCGCUCCACGAGGCGCUCUUGGCCCUGCUGCAGCAGCGGCAGCAGCGCGCGCGUCAUCAGGGACACGGAGCCGGGGUACACGAGCCAGCGGCCCAGCGAGUGGGCCAGCGCGUAGCUAGCGAGCUGGCCGGGCAGCUCGCGGAGCUGCUGCAAGAGGCACUGCGCCUGGCUGCGCGCCCCACGUGGAGGCCGCCCCAGCGCAUCCCCGCCCAGCGUCUCGUCCCGCAGCAACCACACGCCCGCCGCGGCUGCCGCGCAGGUCAGCGCCCGGUGGCUGCUGCUCCGGCCCACGGCGCGCACGUCAUCCCAGCGGAAGGCCACGGGCCAGCCGCGGAAUGGGUAGGUGUAGCUGGCGGUCAGGUAGAUCUUGAACACGCGCACCAGCGCCUUCACGAAGCAGAUGACGCACAUGAGCGGUGGCCCUAACGCCCAGCCGCUGGGCCGGGAUCGCCGCGAGAGGCACAGGGCAGUCUUAGGGGAUACCGGCUCCCGGACAAGCCCUGAUGGCCUUUGUGACCUGGCCUUCCAGGGCGGAGGGAAGGCUGCAUCCUGUUGCUAGGUGAUGGGUGCACAAAGGGUUCCCAGAGAUGAUGAACCCAAGGUUCUGCCCGUCCCCCGCCUUCGCCAAGACCCCACCAGCUAAACGCUCCCAGGCCCAGCUUUCCCACCCAUGAUUUGAGCAGCUACUGUCUCCCUCUUUCUUCCUUAUUUAUUUAUUAAAUUGAGAUGGGGUCUCA
rnacentral:lncRNA from 1 species